rnacentral:rRNA from 1 species
ACGGGUGAGUAACACGUGGGUAACCUGCCCAUCAGAAGGGGAUAACACUUGGAAACAGGUGCUAAUACCGUAUAACAAUCGAAACCGCAUGGUUUUGAUUUGAAAGGCGCUUUCGGGUGUCGCUGAUGGAUGGACCUGCGGUGCAUUAGCUAGUUGGUGAGGUAACGGCUCACCAAGGCGACGAUGCAUAGCCGACCUGAGAGGGUGAUCGGCCACAUUGGGACUGAGACACGGCCCAAACUCCUACGGGAGGCAGCAGUAGGGAAUCUUCGGCAAUGGACGAAAGUCUGACCGAGCAACGCCGCGUGAGUGAAGAAGGUUUUCGGAUCGUAAAACUCUGUUGUUAGAGAAGAACAAGGAUGAGAGUAACUGUUCAUCCCUUGACGGUAUCUAACCAGAAAGCCACGGCUAACUACGUGCCAGCAGCCGCGGUAAUACGUAGGUGGCAAGCGUUGUCCGGAUUUAUUGGGCGUAAAGCGAGCGCAGGCGGUUUCUUAAGUCUGAUGUGAAAGCCCCCGGCUCAACCGGGGAGGGUCAUUGGAAACUGGGAGACUUGAGUGCAGAAGAGGAGAGUGGAAUUCCAUGUGUAGCGGUGAAAUGCGUAGAUAUAUGGAGGAACACCAGUGGCGAAGGCGGCUCUCUGGUCUGUAACUGACGCUGAGGCUCGAAAGCGUGGGGAGCAAACACGGAUUAGAUACCCUGGUAGUCCACGCCGUAAACGAUGAGUGCUAAGUGUUGGAGGGUUUCCGCCCUUCAGUGCUGCAGCUAACGCAUUAAGCACUCCGCCUGGGGAGUACGACCGCAAGGUUGAAACUCAAAGGAAUUGACGGGGGCCCGCACAAGCGGUGGAGCAUGUGGUUUAAUUCGAAGCAACGCGAAGAACCUUACCAGGUCUUGACAUCCUUUGACCACUCUAGAGAUAGAGCUUCCCCUUCGGGGGCAAAGUGACAGGUGGUGCAUGGUUGUCGUCAGCUCGUGUCGUGAGAUGUUGGGUUAAGUCCCGCAACGAGCGCAACCCUUAUUGUUAGUUGCCAUCAUUUAGUUGGGCACUCUAGCAAGACUGCCGGUGACAAACCGGAGGAAGGUGGGGAUGACGUCAAAUCAUCAUGCCCCUUAUGACCUGGGCUACACACGUGCUACAAUGGGAAGUACAACGAGUCGCAAAGUCGCGAGGCUAAGCUAAUCUCUUAAAGCUUCUCUCAGUUCGGAUUGUAGGCUGCAACUCGCCUACAUGAAGCCGGAAUCGCUAGUAAUCGCGGAUCAGCACGCCGCGGUGAAUACGUUCCCGGGCCUUGUACACACCGCCCGUCACACCACGAGAGUUUGUAACACCCGAAGUCGGUGAGGUAACCUUUUGGAGCCAGCCG